rnacentral:rRNA from 1 species
ACGACUGCUAAGACUGGAUAGGAGAUAAGAAGGCAUCUUCUUAUUUUUAAAAGACCUAGCAAUAGGUAUGCUUAGAGAGGAGCUUGCGUCACAUUAGUUAGUUGGUGGGGUAAAAGCCUACCAAGACGAUGAUGUGUAGCCGGGCUGAGAGGUCAAACGGCCACAUUGGGACUGAGACACGGCCCAAACUCCUACGGGAGGCAGCAGUAAGGAAUUUUCGGCAAUGGAGGAAACUCUGACCGAGCAACGCCGCGUGAACGAUGAAGUAUUUCGGUACGUAAAGUUCUUUUAUUAGGGAAGAAAAGAUGGUGGAAAUACCAUUAUGACGGUACCUAAUGAAUAAGCCCCGGCUAACUAUGUGCCAGCAGCCGCGGUAAUACAUAGGGGGCAAGCGUUAUCCGGAAUUAUUGGGCGUAAAGGGUGCGUAGGCGGUUAAAUAAGUUUAUGGUCUAAGUGCAAUGCUUAACGUUGUGAUGCUAUAAAAACUGUUUAGCUAGAGUUGGAUAGAGGCAAGUGGAAUUCCAUGUGAAGUGGUAAAAUGCGUAAAUAUAUGGAGGAACACCAGGAGCGAAGGCGGCUUGCUGGGUCUUAACUGACGCUGAGGCACGAAAGCGUGGGGAGCAAACAGGAUUAGAUACCCUGGUAGUCCACGCCCUAAACGAUGAGUACUAAACGUUGGGUAAAACCAGUGUUGAAGUUAACACAUUAAGUACUCCGCCUGAGUAGUACGUACGCAAGUAUGAAACUUAAAGGAAUUGACGGGACUCCGCACAAGCGGUGGAUCAUGUUGUUUAAUUCGAAGGUACCCGAAAAACCUCACCAGGUCCUUGUCAUGCUUUUGCAAAGUUGUAGAAAUACAGUGGAGGUUAUCAAUUGCACAGGGUGGUGCAUGGUUGUCGUCAGCUCGUGGUCGUGAGAUGGUGGGGUUAAGUCCCGCAACGAGCGCACCCUUUGUUGUUAAUUGCCAGCAUUGUAAUGGAUGGGGACUUUUAGCAAGACUGCCAGUGUUAAAUUGGGAGAAGGUGGGGACGACGUCAAACCAUCAUGCCCCUUAUGACCUGGGCUACAAACGUGAUACAAUGGCUGUUACAAAGGGUAGCUAUAGCGUAAGCUUUUGGCGAGUCUCAAAAAAGCAGUCUCAGUUCGGAUUGAAGUCUGCAACUCGACUUCAUGAAGUUGGAAUCGCUAGUAACCGCGAAUCAGCAUGUCGCGGUGAAUACGUUCACGGGGUUUGUACACACCGCCCGUCA